UACGGAGGGGGCUAGCGUUGUUCGGAAUUACUGGGCGUAAAGCGCACGUAGGCGGCUUUGUAAGUUAGAGGUGAAAGCCCGGAGCUCAACUCCGGAACUGCCUUUAAGACUGCAUCGCUUGAACGUCGGAGAGGUAAGUGGAAUUCCGAGUGUAGAGGUGAAAUUCGUAGAUAUUCGGAAGAACACCAGUGGCGAAGGCGACUUACUGGACGACUGUUGACGCUGAGGUGACGAAAGCGUGGGGAGCAAACAGG
rnacentral:rRNA from 1 species